GUGGGGAAUAUUGCACAAUGGGGGAAACCCUGAUGCAGCGACGCCGCGUGGAGGAAGAAGGUCUUCGGAUUGUAAACUCCUGUUGUUGAGGAAGAUAAUGACGGUACUCAACAAGGAAGUGACGGCUAACUACGUGCCAGCAGCCGCGGUAAAACGUAGGUCACAAGCGUUGUCCGGAAUUACUGGGUGUAAAGGGAGCGCAGGCGGGAGAACAAGUUGGAAGUGAAAUCCAUGGGCUCAAACCAUGAACUGCUUUCAAAACUGUUUUUCUUGAGUAGUGCAGAGGUAGGCGGAAUUCCCGGUGUAGCGGUGGAAUGCGUAGAUAUCGGGAGGAACACCAGUGGCGAAGGCGGCCUACUGGGCACCAACUGACGCUGAGGCUCGAAAGUGUGGGUAGCAAACAGGAUUAGAAACCCGUGUAGUCC
rnacentral:rRNA from 1 species